GUAAUAGAGAGUAUGUCUCUUUGUAUGGAAAAUAUAAAUUAGAUAUUUCUAAAUCGGUGAUGUAAAUAAAUGAAAAGAAAAAAAGAAAAAGAAAAAGAAAAAGAAAAAGAAAAAGAAAAAGAAAAAGAAAAGACAAAAAGAUCUUAUUAUCACGAUUAUAUCGUAAGUAAAAAAUAACAUCGAACAAUCGUUUACGAAAACAUUGAAAACGAUUAAAUCGAAUUAAAUUAUAAAUUAAUACGAUACUUAUUCAUCGAUAAUAUUUAUACGACGAAGGAUAAGAUAAAAAAAAGUUCCUUUUCAUAAAACAUUCGUAGACAUUUUUUCUUUUAUAUAACACGCCAUGGUUGAUAUUCUUUUUUAACGUUGUAUAACGAUUUAACGAUGAAAGAAAAAAAACAAAAAACAAAAAACAAAAAUAAAAAAGAAACAAAAAGAAAGAAGAAGAAGUAGAUGAAGAAGAAGAAGAAGAAGAAGAAGAAGAAGACGAAGAAGAAGAAGAAAAGAAAGAAAUCGAACAUAAAAAACACUUGGUUUCAAGGGUUAAUCGCUCCGAAAGUGGAAGGUGUUCGCGCAAAUAGUUUUGCGCGUGCGCAUGGCGUGCUUCUCGCGAGAGCACGGAGAAAGCAGAUUACCAUCGGUGAGUGAUUUACGAGCUCGGCGCCUCCUCGCGAGGUCCCUUAACCCGUAUGUGUGUGUUUACAGACCACAUUCCUGGGAAGAGGAUCGUGAUGUGCCGGCAGCACGUGCUCUUGCGCCUCGUGCUGCUCGAUUUGCUCGACAAACAGUGUACACGAGAUAGAAAGAGAGGGAUAAAGAGAGAGACAGAUAGAUAGAUAGAGAGAGAGAGAGAGAGAGAGAGAGAGAAUGCAACGAGAACAGGUGGGAUGGUUCCUCUCUCGCGUAUGCGUUUCGCGUAUAAACAACGUAUGUACAUAUGUAGGUGUAUAUACUAUUCGAGCUUUCUGUCCCAACCUCCCACCCUUCCAGCCCGUUUGCCACCCCACCACAAUACCAUUCCCAUCGUAUUCGAAGCUUACAGCGGAGAUUCUCAUUGAUAGUCGAUGUGUAACGAGCAGCAGCCGGUAUUUAAUCCUUUCGAAUAAUACGUAGUUAGGUAGAUAGGUAGAUAUGUACGUAGAGAUAUACAUGCGUAUCUCCAGCUAGACAACACGAAACAUAAAUGUAUAUUGAUAAUUAUCAGUCGGAAAGAGUAUUUUAUCAGCGGAAUAUUAUAUGAAAUAUUUCUUUCUUUCUUUAUCUUUUCUUUUUUUUUCCUCGUUUCCUUUUCCCUUUUCGAUCCU